rnacentral:rRNA from 1 species
UACGUAGGUGGCAAGCGUUGUCCGGAUUUACUGGGCGUAAAGAGCGCGCAGGCGGUCGAAUAAGUCGAAUGUGAAAGCCCCCGGCUUAACUGGGGAGGGGCAUUCGAUACUGCUCGACUUGAAGGCAGGAGAGGGAAGUGGAAUUCCCGGUGUAGCGGUGGAAUGCGUAGAGAUCGGGAAGAACACCGGUGGCGAAGGCGGUCUGCUGGGCCGUUGCUGACGCUGAGGCGCGACAGCGUGGGGAGCAAACAGG